rnacentral:misc_RNA from 1 species
AAGUCGUAACAAGGUUUCCGUAGGUGAACCUGCGGAAGGAUCAUUAUUGAAUUGUUUGUUUGAAUUGGCUUAAAACCCCAAUUCAGCAUCCAUAUCCAUAACACCUGUGCACUGUUGGAUGAACUCGACCCUUUGGGUCUUGCAAGUCCACUUUUACACCAAACAAUUUGUAACAAAUGUAGUCUUAUUAUAACAUAAUAAAACUUUCAACAACGGAUCUCUUGGUUCUC